ACAUACGGCCACAGGCAGUAGAGAAUACCGCGUCCCGUUUGCUCCGCUGAAGUCAAGCUACUGACCGGCAGAUUAGUAGUUGGGUCGGUGACGACCAGCGAACACCGGCUGCUGUAUGUU
rnacentral:rRNA from 1 species